rnacentral:rRNA from 1 species
CGCUGAGCUUGGUGCUUGCACUGGGUGGAUGAGUGGCGAACGGGUGAGUAAUACGUGAGUAACCUGCCCUUGACUCUGGGAUAAGCCUGGGAAACUGGGUCUAAUACUGGAUACGACAUGUCACCGCAUGGUGGUGUGUGGAAAGGGUUUUACUGGUUUUGGAUGGGCUCACGGCCUAUCAGCUUGUUGGUGGGGUAAUGGCUCACCAAGGCGACGACGGGUAGCCGGCCUGAGAGGGUGACCGGCCACACUGGGACUGAGACACGGCCCAGACUCCUACGGGAGGCAGCAGUGGGGAAUAUUGCACAAUGGGCGGAAGCCUGAUGCAGCGACGCCGCGUGAGGGAUGACGGCCUUCGGGUUGUAAACCUCUUUCAGCACGGAAGAAGCGAAAGUGACGGUACGUGCAGAAGAAGCGCCGGCUAACUACGUGCCAGCAGCCGCGGUAAUACGUAGGGCGCAAGCGUUGUCCGGAAUUAUUGGGCGUAAAGAGCUCGUAGGCGGUUUGUCGCGUCUGCUGUGAAAGCCCGGGGCUUAACCCCGGGUGUGCAGUGGGUACGGGCAGACUUGAGUGCAGUAGGGGAGACUGGAAUUCCUGGUGUAGCGGUGAAAUGCGCAGAUAUCAGGAGGAACACCGAUGGCGAAGGCAGGUCUCUGGGCUGUUACUGACGCUGAGGAGCGAAAGCAUGGGGAG